GAUAAUCCAGUUUUCUCCAAUUACAUCUCAUCACAUCAAAAACAUAACCCAUAUGCACUUCCCCAUAUCCACUUGAUCCAAUCACAACCACAAACCCAUCAAACGCUCCAACAUACGCCACGUUGCGUAUCUCAUCCGGAACAUUCCCCAUCUUCUGCCACGUGUGACUCCUCAUCGCAACUAACUCCCCGCCACAACACAUAUAAACACUCUCAGCUCCAACAUACGCCACGUUGCGUAUCUCAUCCGGAACAUUCCCCAUCUUCUGCCACGUGUGACUCCUCAUCGCAACUAACUCCCCGCCACAACACAUAUAAACACUCUCAC
rnacentral:lncRNA from 1 species